AUUCUGCUCAUGCGGGGAAGGACGAGAAGCUUCGACUAAGGUUCGACUCGAGCGCCAGCGAGAGAGCGUUGCCGCAGGCAACGACCCGAAGGGCGAAGCGCGCAGCGCUGAGUAAUCCUUCCCUCCACCACCA
rnacentral:sRNA from 1 species